GGAGUCUAGCAUGUGCGCGAGUCAUUGGGACUAAACUAAACCUAAAGGCGCAAUGAAAGUGAAGGCUCGCCUCGCGCGAACCGAGGGAGGAUGGGCCGGUCCCCGGACUGGCCCCGCACCUCCGGGGCGUCUCGUUCUCAUCGCGAGAAGAGGCGCACCCAGAGCGUACACGCUGGGACCCGAAAGAUGGUGAACUAUGCCUGGUCAGGACGAAGUCAGGGGAAACCCUGAUGGAGGUCCGUAGCGAUUCUGACGUGCAAAUCGAUCGUCGGAACUGGGUAUAGGGGCGAAAGACUAAUCGAACCAUCUAGUAGCUGGUUCCCUCCGAAGUUUCCCUCAGGAUAGCUGGCGCUCGCUGCGUGCGAGUCUCAUUCGGUAAAGCGAAUGAUUAGAGGCAUUGGGGUCGAAACGACCUCAACCCUAUUCUCAAACUUUAAAUGGGUGAGAUCUCCGGCUUGCUUAAACAGUGAAGCCGCGAGAUAUCGGAUCAGAGUGCCAAGUGGGCCACUUUUGGUAAGCAGAACUGGCGCUGUGGGAUGAACCAAACGCCGAGUUAAAGCGCCCAAAUCGACGCUUAUGGGAUACCAUGAAAGGCGUUGGUAACUUAAGACAGCAGGACGGUGGCCA
rnacentral:rRNA from 1 species